rnacentral:rRNA from 1 species
AUUGAACGCUGGCGGAAUGCUUUACACAUGCAAGUCGAACGGUAGAGGGGGCAACCCCUUGAGAGUGGCGAACGGGUGAGUAAUAUAUCGGAACGUGCCCAGUCGUGGGGAUAACGUAGCGAAAGUUACGCUAAUACCGCAUACGAUCUAAGGAUGAAAGCGGGGGAUCGCAAGACCUCGCGCGAUUGGAGCGGCCGAUAUCAGAUUAGGUAGUUGGUGGGGGUAAAGGCUCACCAAGCCAACGAUCUGUAGCUGGUCUGAGAGGACGACCAGCCACACUGGAACUGAGACACGGUCCAGACUCCUACGGGAGGCAGCAGUGGGGAAUUUUGGACAAUGGACGCAAGUCUGAUCCAGCCAUUCCGCGUGCAGGAUGAAGGCCCUCGGGUUGUAAACCGCUUUGUACGGACGAAAAGGUUCUCUUAAUACGAGGAGCUCAUGACGGUACCGUAAGAAUAAGCACCGGCUAACUACGUGCCAGCAG